UGCACGUGUAGCUGCCUAGUGAGAGGCAGGUAGCACCACCAUGUGUGGUGGCAAGAAAAUCUCCUGACCCGAAUUCCCAGUUUAUUCUCAGCUGGAUGUGUUCACUGGGGAGCUUCGUGCACGCAGUAAGACCUUGUAUGUAUGGCCAUUAGACUCAUGGCUGUUCCCAGGAGCACUUGGUAUGGUAUUCCUUGGACUGGUGUGAAGAAAAGCAGCAGUUCCACUGGUCUUGAAGAACAAUGCAAAGCUUUUAAAGUGCCCUGCCAAAGAGAGAAAAGAGGAGACGUAUGCUGUAUGAACAAAACAGAAAUUUAUGUCAGGGAGGUGCCAGAUGAGACAUCUGGGAACUGCUGGAAGACAAACUAUGCAAGAAGUUUAGCCACAAUCCAUGAAAGCUAGAAAAAUUCUGCCUGAGCUCUGUCAAAACCACAGAAAAUGAAGCUGUGCCUGAAGCAAUAUGCUCCAACUAGCUGGGCAUUUUAUUUAAGGCUUAAGCAGCAAAAAAACAAACCAAACCAAACCAAAACAAAAAAACACCACUCUGAGAGGGAGACUCUGAGAGGAAGGUUUCGUGAGAUGCUAUUUCCUUGGUAUCCUGAAUGCCAUUGGAGUGUCUGGGAGGGCCUGCAUGGCCUGUCCCACGGCACUGUGGAUCAGAGAGCAGCCUCCUGCCAUCUGAUGUUUUGUUUUUGCUGAGGAUGGAAGCACUUGCAAUGUGUUAUGAUGCUUCUGUCAGCACUCAACAUGCACUUGGUAUUCAGCAAUUUGCAGUUGUAGAUCACAGUGGAUCACAGCAGGAGAGCCCACACAGCAAACCCUCCCUGUGCACCCCUGGUGCAGAACAGCUGCUACAGCAUCACUUCCCCCCUGGGGACCUCAAGUGACAGGGGAUUGAGAUGAUGCAGGGUGGCAAAUUCUGCUUUUACUGCUCCCAUCACCAAAAAAUGAAAGGGAUGGGAUGGAGUCCCCUGUAUAAUAGAAAUUCAGCGUGUUUGGGAAGCUUUUCACAGCUUCUUCUGAUCUUAAUAAGAAAAUCAUGCUUACAACGGUUUGCAAUCCUGUGAGAGCCAAAAAAGCAUCCACAAAGUCCAGCUUGCCCUGCCUCAGCAUAUGGGAAACAGCUCGCAUGAAGAAAAGUGAGCAAAAACCUGGUGUUCCUUUCACUUUUGGUAAUCCCUUCCCAAGCAUUGUUCCAGCCCAGAUGCACUCUGCUUUUCCUAGAUAGAAUGGGAUCCUGGGUUGGCAUCAGCUGGCAAUGUGCCACCCACCGCAGUGCAGCUGACGUGGCUGUGCUAAUUAGCUUUGCCAAGGCACUGACCUGCUGUAUUCUCUCUGACAGCAUCCAUUGGUGAAACAUGACAUUCCGCGGGGCCAGGCCAAUCUGCUCUCUUUGCCACCCUCGCACCACUCUGGCCAGCAGAGAAGUGCAGGCUGAAAGCCAAGGACAGACCCGUGGCAGAAGUGUCACUGAACCUGUGGGAAGCCUCACAUUGCAGAAAACCCCCAAGAAGAUGGGAAGCAGCCGUGGCUGUGAAUCACCCUAGAAACAAGUGAUUCGCUAUGGGUAAAUGUGUGGAAGUAGCACAGUACUGUAAAGUGUGACUAAGGCUAUUAUCACAGAGCAGUGGGAAGGCUCCCAGCCCCCAGCACUUUCUUGAGGGUAUGUUAAUUAUUGCUAGGGGCAUGAAUACCUCAUGUCUGGAAUAAGCAACUCCUACUAAGCAGCACCACUGCACUCUCCAUGCUAAAAACAAUGCUGGAUUGUUUGAGGCUGUUGCGAACUUCUUAUAAAACAUCAUUAGCAGAUUGGAACUAGGUAAUCUUUAAGGUCACUUCUAACCCAUGCCAUUCAAUGAUUCUAUGAUUUCAGUGAUAAAACUACUGUAAUUCAGUACCAUCCAUCAGUGAGUGCUCAUUUAGUUAAUGGUUAAGUUAAUCUCCUUCUGCAACAGAGAUCCUUGCAAGAGUGACGUUCCUAAUGAGGACUCAGACUGCCCUUGCAAAGAGUUAGGACAGGAGACACAAACUCUGCUGCUCUAAGAAUCCUUGCUCCAGUAACUGUGAAGAAUGAUAUCCUAGUUCCCUGUCAACAAAGCUACAAGGCUGGUGUAUGCUCUGCUCCUGCCACAACCCAGGAGUUGUUUGGGCACUCAGGUCCUGGGAGUUAGCAUAGUGCUUAGCACAGACACAGAACGGUUCAAUGAGGAAUAUUGGUGGUGGAAGUUCUGCUUUGUGAUUCCAUGGUGCUUGGUCACAUUCCCAGAUCCUUCUGCAUCCCCUCAUACUUCAUGAGGAAAAAAAUUCUCUUGGCUAAGUUGAACUUUGUUGUUAGGAUCAUGAUGGGAGUAUUGCACUCCUCUGGACUGCAUAUUUCUGGGUGCUACCAUGGAUUUGUCAAGCCGUUGUUAACAUUGGAUCACAUGGCUAUUUCGUUUUUAAAGGAUAGAAAAGUCUAAAAUAUGCAAAUAAGCCCAGAACUGAGCUGCUUCUAAUCAUGCUGAAUUUUCUUUUUCCAUUUUAUGGUCCUGCACUUUCAAGGGCACCAUUGAAUGUAUCCUUUCACUUGUUUUAAGGCUUAAGUUGUCAUAAUGGGCAGAAAGUUCAUAAAGAAAAGGCAUGAUGAUCCUUCAAAGGAAAAGGUAAUGCAUAGUGUCCUUAUGCUGGAAGCAUAGAGGCAAGUAGGUUUCUUACAAAGAUAAGACAGCUUUUUAUGUAAAUAACCCUGAAGCAAGGACAUUAUCAUACCAAGUCCUUCACCAAUAACACUUUAGAGCCUAGUUUCAAAUUUUGUAUACAGUAUGCAUCAUGACAACAUUACUACAACUCUGCUUAGCUAUUCCAAAAGAGAAUGCAGGCUAGGGCUAAUGAUUACACUAAUGCAUUGUGUUGGUUAAUUGAAGGAAUUUAUGUCAUGAGAUAAGUGUUAGAGUUCAAAGUCAAGCCUGUGUACAUCUGUUUUUGAGAAACACAGAAAGAGAGAGAAUAUAUGCAGGUAGGGUUGUCAUCAGGCAAGGGACUAAAUAUAAGCCUCUGCGACUUCAUAUCAGGGAAAAUAUCCAGAAAUCCUUUCUAGGCAAUACAUUACAUGCUUGUGGGACAGUAAUGAUGUACAAGCAAAGCAGCAUCUGUAAUGAGCAUGUAGUCAUCAAGACGGGGAGCAUUAGUGUCAAUUUGUCUGGGAGGGAAGAAUGAGAAUGUGCCAGUGAUGCUAGAAAAAUCCAUAAUAUUUCCAAGCAUAUUCUUUUCCACCUGGCCAAGAGCACACACACACUAUUAAUGAGAACACAAUUUUUCCUGCUAGUUCCUGGAGGGCAUUUGCUUGUCUGAAAUACUUCCCAGAGUCAUGGUAUGAUAAUAUUAACUACUCAUUACUGCUUCUGUCAUCUCAGACAGCAACUAUACUGUGAACCUGGAAAAGCAUUUUAAAAAAUGACAAAAGCAUAUCUUGAUCAAUGUUGACUAGUCAGUUGCUUAGUAUAUGCAAAAAACAUUAUCAUCCUUAAUUGCCUCUGUGAUACUGCAUUCUGAGAGGAAUAUCCCUCAAAGGAAACCCUUGGGAGAAAAAGCUACUCUCAGCUUUUAUGAGACUAAUGUGGCUUGGAGUGAAUUGAUCAAACCCAUUCCGCACAGUAACUUAAAGUGCCUACUUAGCAUUACUCCCAGUUGGUAGAUUGCUCUGUCUAGUUUAUAGAUUAGUAAAAUGUUUUCCUUGUUGUUGGUUUCACCUGCAUUUUAGCCCAUAUUAAUAUUUAAAUUCCCUAAGAACAACUUGUUAUCCCUUUGAUGACAACAGAAGAAAUUAAAGCAAAGAAAAGGUAAACUUUGAGAUUUAUUCUUUCAUCUUCUACUUGAUACACAAUGACUUUCUUAUUAUAGCUCUUAAGAGAAACAGGCUGUACAGGUUGCUGUCAAGAGCCACAUGACACAAUGAUAUCUGACUAUUUGUUGAAAGAGUCCAAAGGCUUUGAUCCAGCAAAGCAUUUCAAUAACUGCUUUUCUUUCAGCAAUAAGCAUCUCCAGGUCCUUUAAUGCUUUGUUUCUGUGCUGCCCUUAAAGUCCCCCAGGGUGGAUGACAGUCGUAGAAUCAUAGAAUCACGUAAUCAUAGAAGCAUAUAAUAGUUUGAGUUUGAAGCGACCUUAAAGACCAUUCAGUUCCAACUUCCCUGCCAUGGACAGGGUUGACACCCAUUUCAUCAAGUUGCCCAGGGCCCAAUCCAAUCUGGCCUAAGGAUGAGGAGAGCACACAGUCUUGCUCGUGAUCAACAAGAUAGCCCUGCAUGGCAGAGGUGGCAAAUUCCUUUUCUAGGUCAGCUGGAAGAAGGUGAGAGCAACAAGAGCCCCAGUCCUUGAAUCCGGAAACAGGAGGUCCUGGCCCCUCCACAAAGCCUUGUAGGCAGAUGGGAGCUCUGCUUGAGAGUUUUCACAGGAAAAGCCAGCAGGGAGUGUGAUCUCAAGAGAUGGAAAGGAAGCUAUACUAACCUGUUCUAGGGUCUGAGCAUAAACCUUUUCACGGAAUGUAUUGUUUUCACUCCUACACUAGAUGAAUCCAUUAGACACUGCAUCAAUUACCAGAGAGUAUAUGAUGUAAAAGGCUCCAAUGGAUAUCCUAUAUCUUGCAUGCUAUUAUAUACAAAGUAUAGCCUGGGAAAUAGCUUUUAGUAUAAAAGGGUUUUGCUGGAACCUGGGGCAUAUGCAGUUAGGUUUCAGUUCACUAAUUUCUCCUUAUUGAGGGCAGGAGAGUUUGCUGUAGGGUAAUCAACAACCUGGGUCAGAAAAGACUGGCCUGGUCUCGUACAAGGCACAGAGCAAAGAAUGCUUCUCUCUUAAUUCUUGUGCAAAAUUUGUUACCAAUGUUUGGUGCUAGCAAAUCAACCAAUUAUAAUGUUAAGCUUUCCAAUAGUGGAAAAUCCACUUCAGCCCUUGUUAAUGUUUACUUACCCUCACUGAUAGGCAAAAAUGCUUUCACCUAAUUUGUAGUCUGAACUCGUCUGGUUUCAACCUGCAUCUACGGAGUCUUAUACAUUCCCGUGCCCUCUUAUGAAGAUGCAAUGUUAGCUAGAAAGAAAAAAGCAUGUGGUUGUUAUUCCACAGGAAAUUAAGAUUCUGGCAGAUAAUGACGGUACUUCUUCAGUGAAUCCAUGUGGCAGUGUAUGUUACCUUGCAGAACAUAGCCAAGAGCUGCACUUUUUGGGUAAUAUAUGUCAGUCUUCUGGUUUAGGAAUUAUCUACCUAGAGUCUAAUAUCAGUUACAGUCACUGCCUUUUAAGACUUCGAAACUACAAAAAGGGUCAACAUAUGAAAUAUUCAUGCUGACAUUUCCCUGUAGCACAUCCUUUCUGGGCUCAGCCAUCUUCUCAUCCAUGCGCUCUGCAUCACACUGUGCUCCCCCCCCCCACCUGCCUCCCUCCAGGCUCUGUCAAUUCACCUGGCCCUGGGGCUGCUUUGGUCUACUUCCACAAGAAACUGAAUUGUUUCUUAUGCUGCUGCUCUGCUUGGAUCACUCUGAACCUGUGCCUCCUCUAACCUGCCUGUGUUUCUAAGCAUGUGUGAUUCUUUUUCACUGCCAAGCACCAGCCUGACCCCCAUUCUUGAUGUGGUUUCAUACCCCACUGUAUCACACUAUCAAAAAAAUUCAAGUAACAAGCACAUUACAGAACAUGUUUUACACAAAAGCAUGAGGGAAAAUAUAAAUCCUUACAGUUUAAUGUAAGAUAAAUUAUCAAGACACUCCCUUGUGAUCACUCAGCAAUAAAAACCAGCAGUGUAAUUUUAAUACAGGUUGACUCACACGUAAAAGCAAAAAGCUAGUGUAGCAUAUAAAUGUUUUCUUUUAGAACACAGCUAAAGCACUUCUUUGUGUUGACAUUUGCUCUCAACACAGUUGAGUGAGAAAUUCAUAUUAGUUAAUCUUUUCCUGCAAAAUCUUUCGUUUUUCAAAAAUUGGCAUUUUACAGCAAAUGUGUAACAGCACAAUGCAACAAAAAUAAUUGAAAAAAUAUCUUCCAAUCUGAUUAUGUCUUAUUAUGAUGAUCAAACUCAUACUCGGGGGGGGUUAAUUUUUCCUUUGUCUGUUUAGCACCAUGUGUGGUUCUGGUGAUAGAUAAAUAACAGCAUGUGGAAUGGGAUGUGAUUGCCAGUUCACAUGGUGAUUCCACAUUUAAAAGUAGUUCAUUCCAUAAUGUAAUCCUGGAUAUUCUGUAAUGCUGUCCAUCACCACUGUAUUUUGAGCACUUCCUUAAGAAGUACAGGGAGUAUUUUUGAAGUGUCUGGCACUUCUUGCUUUUUGUGGUCAAAAUUUUGUGGAAAAAGGCAGUAGAGUUGUUGUUAAUGUGAAUUGUUGCCCAUAGCAUACACUUCCUCUUUCCCCCACUUGGAUUCAGCGAAGAAGGAAAUUUUCACUGCACAAUUAUCCCAAAUUCUUCUUUAGAUCUAGUCAUCAUCUUUUUAAUUGCAUUCACUCAAGCCAGCAAUCUGGAGAGGUUGUAGAAUUUUACUAGUUCAGAGCUGGCUCUGCACCUUCUCUUUCCUGGUAGUUCUGGAUUGGCCUUGGUGAGGUGACGUCCUGGCAGUGAGCAGGGUCAAUCUGAUAUGUGUUUCAACAAGGCAGCUUGCAUGUACUUGAGGUCUGCCUUCCCUGUACCCCAUCUGCUAGGACAGAUUCCUGACUUGUCACCCACGCUCAGGGAUGCUUCUGGGAACGCAGCUCCAAAGGCUGCAGAGCAGGAGGGUAGGCGCUGUGUUAGCAAGGGCAGUGGCUGCAUCAAGAAAUAUAAGAUUGAUCAGAUAAUAAUGGAUUUCUGUAAACUACCCUCCCAGUAAAAAGACAAAGGCAGACGUACUAACCAGGGAGACUGGAAAAGUAGGAACGUGCCGCUGUAUCAGGAAAUCUGGCAUUCUGCCCCUGCUUGCCUAUCAAUUAAUGGAUGCCGUGAGCAAGUGUUCUGUUGCAUUGUGCUUUUGCUCCCUUGUAUCUUCUCUUAGUCUCCAAGACAUACUGAGACCAUCACCUGUUUGGGGAAGGUGCUGUUUUGCAUGUUAUAUUGCUAGGAAAAUCAUGCCCUCUUUGUAGUAGGGUCUUUGAGGUGCUUCUGAAAUAAAAGUAAUUUAAAACAACAACAGCCUCAAGUGCACAGAAGCAAUCAAGCAAGUUUGCUCAUAACAAGUUGUCUCUCAGUGGUAUACAGAUCACUUCUGUCCUCAGGUAAAACACCAAGUGCAUAUAUUCCCUGCACAGAAAAGCAAACUUACCCAAAUUCUUUAAAACCCCUUGAAUUCAAGCAACCCCAGCUGACAGCAAAGCCAUGGCACCAAGCUGGUCCAGGCUCAAUCAACACUGAUUUACAGUUUUCCUCCUCAACUUGGGCAAACUGAGCUAUGAAAAUGGGACCUGAGCUUGUGACCCAAAGCUGUCUUCCUCGAGCGAAUUUCUUUGUAUGAGCGCUAGGAACAUCUGAUGAAUCGCAUGAGUUUGCACAUAUCCGUGCAAAGCAAAGCCAGAUCACAUAUGUAUAUCAGAUAUUUUGUAUACAAAAGGUGCAUCAGAAGACAGUGCCAAAUGCCCUGUCAUUGGCAUUAUAAAUAGGCUUUGCGAGUCAUUGCUCAUUAGAAAACAGAUUUGCUUUCCCCACCAGAGCAGUAGCAAGGAAUGUCAGCUAGCACCCACGUGACAAAGCAUUUGAGCUGGGCCGGUUUGGGACCAGCCAGGAGAUCGAUCUGUGGCUCUCCCACUACUACAAAGGCUCCCUCCACCCUGUGAGCAUCACUGAUAAUUAAACCAGCAGAGCUAUGCUGCCAGGGCUGCCAGGCUUGCAGAAUCCGCCACGUCUGAUCCUUGCAACAAAGGCUCCUCUUAACAGCGCCGUGUUUCAUCCUGUUAAUGUUGAACAAAGUGCUUGUUUGUGCUCAGAACGUAUUCAUCUCUGUAUCUCUGCUUGCUGGAUAAGCAUGUUUCUAGUAUUUCUGUCUGGAUUUGUCUGAGGGAUAUAAGAAGGGAGGGGCAGGUGCAAAGUCCGUAAAUCCCCUUGUAAUUUCUGGGGUUAAUUUCUGGCUUAGCUCAAAUUUUUAACUAGAAGCAUCUCUCAAAAUUAUAUGAUCUCAAUAACAGAAUGCAGAAAAACAGAAACUGUUGCUAGAGAAUGAUCCUGAACUACUUUCUAGUUUAAGAUGACUAAACAAAAGGAGGAUUUUCUUUCAGAAUCUUCUCUGGUCCUUUCUGCUUUGUCACUGUUGACAGCAUAACCAACAGUGCUGCCAUUCAAGCUUUUAACUGGGAGACAUCUUUGAAGCUUCUUUUUGCUUUCCCAGUACAUCCAAGAGCUUCCUGGGAGUAUUUAACACUUGUAAGUACAGGCCUACAAGACAUAAAAAAUAAAAAUGCUGUCUGAUGAUCGGGCAAAGACCCACCUGGCCCUGUGUCUUCUUUCUGACUGUUAGCAACAGCACAGACCUCAGUAAGAAUAUGACAAAGCAAUUGUAAAGCAAAGCUUCCACAAAAUACUCACAUAGGCAGCAGUAAUGCAUGUGAAAGGACUUGUUGACCCACAAAUAGCUAUGGUUAGAUAGGGCCUUUGGGAUGAGAAGGUACUUGAACCUCCCCAAAUCAGAAAGACUGACUGAGACAGAAGGAAGGGUGACAGGGCAGCCACACCCCAGAGACAGAGAACUCUGUGUCAUGAAAGUUUUUGCACUAAACAGAAAAGCUGUAUUGAAAUAACAGGAAAGAGGUUUAACAUGAAGAAACAGGAUUCACUUUGCCUCUUAAGUAACUUGUUGGAAAAUCCUCAGACGAGGAGAAAAGUGUAAGCAAAGGAGCAGAUGUGAAGUGUCGUCUGGGUAAA